GUGGGGAAUAUUGGACAAUGGGCGAAAGCCUGAUCCAGCCAUGCCGCGUGUGUGAAGAAGGUCUUCGGAUUGUAAAGCACUUUAAGUUGGGAGGAAGGGCAGUAAGUUAAUACCUUGCUGUUUUGACGUUACCGACAGAAUAAGCACCGGCUAACUUCGUGCCAGCAGCCGCGGUAAUACGAAGGGUGCAAGCGUUAAUCGGAAUUACUGGGCGUAAAGCGCGCGUAAGUGGUUUUGUAAGUUGGAGGUGAGAUCCCCGGGCUCAACCUGGGAACUGGCCCCAAAACUGCAUGACUAGAGUACGGUAGAGGGUAGUGGAAUUUCCUGUGUAGCGGUGAAAUGCGUAGAUAUAGGAAGGAACACCAGUGGCGAAGGCGACUACCUGGACUGAUACUGACACUGAGGUGCGAAAGCGUGGGGAGCAAACAGGAUUAGAAACCCGAGUAGUCC
rnacentral:rRNA from 1 species